rnacentral:siRNA from 1 species
UACGAUUUUGUUUUGAUUGAUUAU